rnacentral:rRNA from 1 species
GACGAACGCUGGCGGCGUGCCUAAUACAUGCAAGUUGAGCGAUGAAGAUUGGUGCUUGCACCAAUUUGAAGAGCAGCGAACGGGUGAGUAACGCGUGGGGAAUCUGCCUUUGAGCGGGGGACAACAUUUGGAAACGAAUGCUAAUACCGCAUAACAACUUUAAACAUAAGUUUUAAGUUUGAAAGAUGCAAUUGCAUCACUCAAAGAUGAUCCCGCGUUGUAUUAGCUAGUUGGUGAGGUAAAGGCUCACCAGGGCGAUGAUACAUAGCCGACCUGAGAGGGUGAUCGGCCACAUUGGGACUGAGACAAGGCCCAAACUCCUACGGGAGGCAGCAGUAGGGAAUCUUCGGCAAUGGACGAAAGUCUGACCGAGCAAAGCCGCGUGAGUGAAGAAGGUUUUCGGAUCGUAAAACUCUGUUGGUAGAGAAGAACGUUGGUGAGAGUGGAAAGCUCAUCAAGUGACGGUAACUACACAGAAAGGGACGGCUAACUACGUG